UCGCUGGGGCACAGAGAGAGUGAGAGGAAAUGGUCACGGGCCAGGAUAAUGGCAGGAAUACCCAAAUGGCUGGAUACGUUGGAAUUUUGUGAACUGUGGCUCACACUGAAGACAUGGCUACAUCUCUCCAUGGUGAAUGGCUUGGGUGUUAUUGGCUAAUGGUCUGAGAAAGCCACAAUUCGAAAGUUGACUGAAAAAGAGAAAUUUUCUUCGUGAGGCAUUUUGAGUAACAUGCUAAGGAGGAAAUCUCAUUUCUGGAGGUAGUCCACCAUGGAGUUUCAUACCUGAUUGUCCUGAGAGGAAUACAUCAAAAGAUGAAGAUCUUGGGAGCUAAGAACAAAAAGGAUCAUGAGAGGCUUCAUGAACUCCCUCUGGAAGCCUUUGCAUUUACCUCUUACCUGUUCUUCUUCAACAUCAC